AUUGAACGCUGGCGGCAUGCCUUACACAUGCAAGUCGAACGGUAACAGGUCUUCGGAUGCUGACGAGUGGCGAACGGGUGAGUAAUACAUCGGAACGUGCCUAGUAGUGGGGGAUAACUACUCGAAAGAGUGGCUAAUACCGCAUGAGAUCUAAGGAUGAAAGCAGGGGAUCGCAAGACCAUGAGCUACUAGAGCGGCCGAUGGCAGAUUAGGUAGUGGGUGGGAGAAAAGCUUACCAAGCCGACGAUCUGUAGCUGGUCUGAGAGGACGAUCAGCCACACUGGGACUGAGACACGGCCCAGACUCCUACGGGAGGCAGCAGUGGGGAAUUUUGGACAAUGGGCGAAAGCCUGAUCCAGCAAUGCCGCGUGCAGGAUGAAGGCCUUCGGGUUGUAAACUGCUUUUGUACGGAACGAAAAGCCCCGGGUUAAUACCCUGGGGUCAUGACGGUACCGUAAGAAUAAGCACCGGCUAACUACGUGCCAGCCGCCGCGGUAA
rnacentral:rRNA from 1 species